rnacentral:rRNA from 1 species
GACGAACGCUGGCGGCGUGCCUAAUACAUGCAAGUCGAGCGAAGUGUUUCUGGUGCUUGCACUAGAAAAACUUAGCGGCGAACGGGUGAGUAACACGUAAAGAACCUGCCUCAUAGACUGGGACAACUAUUGGAAACGAUAGCUAAUACCGGAUAACAGUAUUUCUCGCAUGAGAGAUAUUUAAAAGUUGGUUAUGCUAACACUAUGAGAUGGCUUUGCGGUGCAUUAGCUAGUUGGGGGGGUAAAGGCCCACCAAGGCGACGAUGCAUAGCCGACCUGAGAGGGUGAUCGGCCACACUGGGACUGAGACACGGCCCAGACUCCUACGGGAGGCAGCAGUAGGGAAUCUUCCGCAAUGGGCGAAAGCCUGACGGAGCAACGCCGCGUGAGUGAAGAAGGCUUUCGGUUCGUAAAGCUCUGUUGUUAGGGAAGAAUGGCUAUGUAGUAACUAUACAUGUAAGAGACGGUACCUAACCAGAAAGCCACGGCUAACUACGUG